GGAGGUAUAGCUCAAGUGGUAGAGUGCAUGCUUAGCAUGCACGAGGUCCUGGGUUCAAUUCCUGGUACCGCCU
rfam:Camelus ferus unplaced genomic scaffold scaffold715, whole genome shotgun sequence.